CCCUUAGAUGUCCUGGGCCGCACGCGCGCUACACUGAGUGUCUGAGAUACGAGUCUGCCUGGUCCGGCAAGGUCUAGGUAAUCGCUAAAAGACACAUCAUGCUUGGGAUAGAUUAUUGCAAAUAUUAAUCUUGAACGAGGAAUUCCUAGUAAGCGCAAGUCAACCGCUUGCGUUGAUUACGUCCCUGCCCUUUGUACACACCGCCCGUCGCUACUACUGAUUGGAUGUUUAAGCGAGGUUCUCGAACUGCUAGCGACUUAGCUUCGGUGAGGUCGCAGUGUGGGAAGUGAACCUAGCUUUGGUGUCUAGAGGAAGUAAAAGUCGUAACA
rnacentral:rRNA from 1 species